rnacentral:misc_RNA from 1 species
UCUCCGUAGGUGAACCUGCGGAGGGAUCAUUACACAAUAUGAAAGCGGGUUGGGACCUCACUUUGGUGAGGGCUCCAGCUCGUCUGAAUUAUUCACCCAUGUCUUUUGCGCACUUCUUGUUUCCUGGGCGGGUUCGCCCGCCACCAGGACCAAACCAUAAACCUUUUUGUAAUUGCAAUCAGCGUCAGUAAACAAUGUAAUUAUUACAACUUUCAACAACGGAUCUCUUGGUUCUG